CAGAAGUAAUAAAAAACACUGACAUGACAUUAUUGCAGUUUUUCAGAUCUACCCACAUGUAUUGCAAAUAUUUGCAUUCAGCCUGACUGCAAUUGCAAUAGUGUAACAAAACAAAAAAAACAAAAAAAAACCUGUAACAAAACAGGUUCAUCUAGUUUCAAAUGUAACGUGGCAUUCUUGCUUUGUUCGCUUCUUUGUUUUACUAAAAAGACAGUGAAGAUGUCAAAGAAAGACUUGAGGAGCCACUCAUCGUCUGAGUCCACCUGCAGGCCUCUCAAUAUUUAAGACAGAUUUCAUGCAACGUGGACCAGGAUCCAGGAUCAGUCAUGAUGAGUGCUGUGAACAUGACCUGACCUGUAUGCUGCUGCCUUUAUAGCACUUGAAAACUCAUCACCUGGACUGGAUCCAGCUGCAAACUCAGAGGUGGAAGUGUAUGUGUUUGUUAUGGAUCUACUGUUUUCAGGUUUUGAGUUGGUCUUCAUCAUCAUUGCAUUUACUAUCAUGUGCUUAUUUGGCCUGGCUGCUGUCUGCACAUACAACACAGAUCAUCAAGAUGACUACAUUCAAACAGAACAGAAGAUAAUGCGACAAAAGAACACCUCAAAGAAAAAACAGAGAGUCAUCACCAAAACCAAUCAAGAGCUUCCAUGAACACAAACAAACACAUUUUAUACAAAUACAGAAUCCUUCCAUUGGUGCUCACUGGAUAAAAAGGACUGGCUCACCAAAUGCAGUUAACCUAGAGGACAAACCGAAGAUCUCUGACACUUAAAAUGGACUUGCUGUCGACCUCAUCUUUCCUUUGAGCCUCAAGACCAGCUGUCUCAGAUUGGCUUGAAUGUAUGACCCCAAUAAGUAAUUAACCAGUAAAGAAAGGUAAAGAAGAUUUAUUGAAAUUGAAACCCCCCCCCUUUCCCCACCUUAAUCUGCUUAUCACUUGUAAUACAAUGAUUUAAAGCCUGUCUGGAGAAGCCUUCAUUUUUUUCACGCAGCUCAUGCUUUGCUGGGCAAACUGCUUUAAAAGUCUCUGGGUGGUGGUAGCCUUUGGCAAGAAAAACAGGAAAAUAUGUUACUGAAUGUAUAUUGUGAAGACAUUUUUAUAUUUAUACAAAAUAUAUUUAUAUGAUAUA